GGGAUUCUCUCUCUUUCCUCUCUCUGCUCCUCCCCGACGCACACUCUCUCUCUCCCUCAAAAUAAGUAAAUAAACUUGAAAAAAACUUAGUGACAAGUUAAGUUGCACGUGAUACCUGAAGUCAUCUGGCUAACACAGUCCUACUGAAAUCUUUCAACGUAGAAUACAGCAGUCUCACAGUGAAACCUGACUACCACACUUUCGUGUUUUCCCACAUGUAAGUUCAAGUUAUGUUUUCACUGGUAUAAUAUUCUGGUGAAGUUAUAUGAGAAUCUACAGCUUGGGAUCAUAUUUCCUCAUCAGCCAGACAUCCUGGGAUGCUCUCAUUGCUAGCCUGGAGAACCGCGCUGCCUGGCUAUUCCUUCGUGAGACUCUUGCAUCUUCUGGAACCACCACUUCCGCAUCCUGUGGGAUCGCCCCUCGUGAGGACCUACCCAAUGGAGCAGGCCCCCUGAACAUGCUUUAGGAACUGCCACACCCCUGGAAUGUUAUGCAAGUAUCCUAUUUAUUGAUCUUCCCCAUUCUGUCCAAACUGGUGUCUAUAAGAAGAACGUCAAAUCAGCCCGAUGGAACACAAGACAUGUCUGACAAUGCUGUAGAGCCUUUCCCAGUACCUCUGAGGAGGACACAUGCUCGGGGAAGUAAGAACAGGUGCUUGCAACUCUGUGGCUGAUAGAGUGGAGUUGAGGGUAAAGUACAAAAGCCCCACGGAGUCAAGUGCCCUUGGCUGAAUGUUUUCCUUGGUCAGGAUCACUCCAUGAAUUCCUACUCAAACACAGGUGGUGCAUGGUUCCUACUUUGCUUCUCCUGGAGUUCUAACUGCUUGGAUGCCACAGGUUACAUGAUCCCCGGAGUCAAGCAAUUAUUUCAGACAGAGAAUUCAAGCCUGCCCUGUGCUUGUGUUUUCUGUAAAUGAAGAGAAAGGUUUACUGAGAAUCCACUAUAUGGAAAUAAAUGCUAAGGGCAGAUGGAAUGAGAAACUCGAAGAUGCAGCCUUUCAGCAGCCUACUACAGCUACCCAAGUACGUCCAGUGGAAGGCGGGGUGUGAUGUGUGCUCCGGAGAAACCCUCCACCCAAAAACCCCGUGAGUGAGGAAGGAAGGCAGGUCACCUGGCUGAGCUCUUCCCCUGCUGCCACCUAGGAGAGAGUCUGGCUGAAUCCAUCCAGAAGAACUGGGAAACCAGAGCUCCACAACCUACCUCUCCCAAUCACCACCACCCCCCACCACCAGAAAUUGCUUUUUCUGCACUGAAGUAUGAAACCUACUGGUUACUCUUAUUUGGCAUCUGUGAUCAGACACAUUGUAUUUGAGUUCUUGGAUACAACACAGAUGAAAGAAACAGCCACAAUAGGAACUUAAGCAGCCAACUAGCAACCUGGUGAGUGAGUACUCUCCUUACAAAUAAAAGUUACCAACCAGAAAUUUUUACAACUUGCUCCCUAUAGCUAGGAAAAAUAAACAGGCUUGAAAGAUGAAUAGAAUCCUACGGCCGUGAUGCCAGACCAAGUCCACAGAAAUAAUCCAGUUUUC